CUCGCCCUAUUUUGUGCCCUUUUGUUCUUGCGUGUGCGCGCGUGUGUGUCAGUGACUAUGCAGUUUGUAGCGUUCCCACUUUAUAGCAAAACAAAAAUAUAACUGCAAUAUUUACUUCAUUCAUACAAUUCCAAAUUAAAUCGUCUGCUGAUGUACAAAUUUCACUUGUGUUUUGUUCCAAAUAAGCAGCAAAACCUUUAACCUAGUAGGCGCUUCCUCUGGGAGUGAAAUCACGACAGCUUGGCAUUUAUUAAUGAAUGACUGUGACUGGGUCACCUUAUUUGUAAUUGCAAAUCUGCCUUUCAACUGACUUGAUGCUAUCUUAUUUUGUUCCUUUCACUCUAUAGACGGCUGGACAUCCUCCUUGUACCUUGGCGCUAGCUGGAUGACGGGACCUCAUCAUGAUCAGUGUAUUGCUUGCCUAUGUCUACAAGAACCGUCACGCGUGGCCUGUGACAGCAAGCUUUUGUGGGCAGCAAGUGCUCUCCUACGAAGGGUGGCCUACUCUGGCAGCGGCGGCAGUCACCUUCAAGAUUUAUCCAUGAUCACCUUUGCUGCUAUUUCUCACUCUUGUUAAUUACACUUCCUGCAUCUUUUUAAUUUAUUAGGUAAUAAAGUAUGAGUAUGUGACAUGGUGUGAA